UCGGCCGCCAGGUGGGUGUCCGCCUACCUGGCCCCGCCCACCCCGCACGCCUCAGGGGGCAACCCUACCCCCAGCGGGGUCCGGCUGCGUCUCCUCAGCUCCUCAGGGGUGGUGGCUGCGCUACAAGUUUGGAAAUUUUGGCGGCGGAGGAGCGCGCCAGCAUUUCGAAGCCGAAGGCUGUGGCAGUAGCCGACCUUCGAGGGCCCUUCAUCCGCGCCCCGGCGCUCCCGCAGCCCAGAGUCGGGCGGCCAAGAGACUCGGCAGCGUCCUCUCGCGUUCGCCCGCCGGACGGCUGCAGCCCUGUCACGGGGGCCGGAGGAGGUGAACCCGCUCGCAGAGAGCACCUGCCGGUUUAAAAAAUUCCCUAAAGAGAUUACACAUGAGCUGGAGAAGAUGGAACUUGAUGGAAAAUACAUGAAUGUGAGUACACAGUUUUCUCUACCUCCAUGGUUGGAGGUGGGUAUGGGCAUAGGGGCCUGGUGUUCUGGGAGGCUGCACUUGCCUGAUCUCUGAGCCAGAGGAGAACUUUCUCUCACUGUUUAUCCAGCAGCAGAGAACAUGGACAGAGCUUAGUGUUGAGUAUAUACACAGGUGCAUGAAACUGAAAAGGUCUCUUGGAGCUGGGUGCCCUGUUUGCUUUAACACCUGAGAUGUUUAUUUAAAAGCAGAGAGGAAAAUAUUGCAAGGAAUACUCCUGCUUCUCCAAAGCAUUGUUUUCAAAGAACAUGUAUAUGGGAACAACAUCUACAUUUGUAUGAGUGCAGCUGUUGCUUUUACAAACCAGCACUUUAGGAUGUGAGACAUGGGUGGGAGAACUCACCUAGGUCUCCCUGGGAACCCCAGGUCCGUUCGUCAGAGACUGCUCCUGUAUGGUGUCCCUUGCCUGUCACCUGGUAUUGAUGACUCCAGCAGUUUUCUCCUUCUGCCUGACCCUCCAGCCCUGUCACGUGGCUCUUGACAUCUCCCUUAUAUGCUAUGAAAUAGCUGUUUUCCUUGGCAUUCAAAGUCCCCUUCUCACCAGGACCCUACAUUGUAGUAAGCAGUGUAGUUACCCUGAAAUCACCAAACUGCUUCUAUGUGUGUGUGCUCUGUGCACUGUGGAGGAAGGCGGCUGGACCAUGGACAAUAGCUGAGGGGGAUGUAAUGGCAGGCAUUUUGCAUACAUUAUGAGAUCUUUAUCCCUACAGAAACUCCAUAAUGUAGCUACUCUUACCCUCACUGUACAGAUUAAAGGGAAAACAUGAAUUUUAGAGAAAUUAAGUAGAUGCUGAGAUCACACAGGAAGUGAAGGAUUUCAUCAGAAUUCUAACCCAGGACUGUGAAGCUCCAAAAACACUGCUACACAGCACCCAAAAUAAUCUGAAGUGCUUGUACUUGUUCAUUCUUUUUAAAAAAAAUAAUAAGUCAUAAAACAGGAGCAUGUGAGUUAAUAUUAUUUAUUUAUUCACCAAAGCACUUAACACUCAGUGUCCUAAAAAAUUUGAGAAAACAAGGAACAAAAGACAAGACAUUGUUGUCUUUUAAGAGCUUCCUUGGGGUCAGUAGCCCCUUGUAUGAACAGGGAAGUUUAGGUCAGACAAAGCUACAUGUUGAAGGGAGGGAGCAGUGUAAGGUGAGGGUGUGCAGGGCGGGGCCCAGUGGAAAUGUUCGCCAGUGUAACUGCCCAACAGCUGGGAUGGUGCUGCACUCAAAUCAGCACAACGUUUAACUUACAGGCAACUCUCAAAAGAUGCCAAACAGAAAUCUCAAGCUGAGUUGAAGAUGAGAAGGAAAAGUCAAGGAAGAUGAAAUGUACUCAGGUACAAACACAGAGACAUGGAGGUGAACUUUUCAGCACCAUUUUAUUUUGUUGUUGACAAUUUGUACAAUUUACAGGGCUGCUUACUUAGCUCAGUCAACCUACACUAUACUAUACUAUACAUCCACUCACUGCUGUGCUGCUGUUGAGGUUAAAAAGGAGCAUUUUUGACUUGGUGUGAGCUGAAGGCUACAGAGUUUUCCAGAGUUAAAAAUAAUUAGUAGCCUCCUAAAAACACUGGCAUUUUCUCCUGAUUUGGGGGUGGCAGCGGGUAUUGGUAAGAGAUGUUCCAUGAUUAGCAUUACUCUCCCAUGUUACAGAUGAAGAAAAUGGGGCUUAGGCCAAGUCACAUAGUUGUUAAUUAGAACUAGGGUUUAAAUUUGAACUUUCUGGUUUCAAAGCCCUUGAUUUUCCAGUAGAACACAAUCUUAUCCCUGCAGUAUGAAGUAAUAUUUUGUGCAGAUCGCCCUGCACAGAAUAUAAGGCCCUUGGGCAACAUCCUUCUACACAUGAGUCAGGGAUCUUAAAGAGAAUGAUGAUACCUGCUCAGGUCAGUUUACAACUUUGUUAAGUGUAAAGACGGCACAAGAUAAAUGUUUGGCUGUUCAGCUUUCAUUCCUCAUGACAUACUUGUAUAAUUAUUAUUUAUUUUCCUAGUAUAUAGAAACCAUUACAUCUCGCCAGAGCGAAAUCCAGAAAUUUAUUGCAGAUGAUUGCAAAGAAGCUCUCCUUGAAGAGAAAAGGCACUUCUGCUUUCUGGUUGACAAACACUGUAGCUUUGCAAAUAACUUACAUUAUUAUCAUUUACAGGUGGGUUUGUGAUAGUGUUUUGUUAUUAUUAACAAUUCAAUUUCAUAUUCAAAUGCUCUUGGAAUGCCUCACCUUCUACAUGUGCCUCAAUGUAAAGCGGUGGGCCUAGUUUACGGAUGAGAAGAGAUGCCAGAGAAACACCGCUUGGUCCACUUGUUUAUGUAAACUUUCAGAAAUGUGGAUGAAAUGGUUAAAUAUUGCUUAUAAGAUUAAUUUAGUAGUAUAUCCAUAUUUAAAAUCUUUCAUUAAAUAAUGCUUAAUGAUCAAGAAUUAGUACUUUUUUUCUUUUCUCGCCUCUGAGUCAGCUUUUCUCAGACUAUUUCUGAUGCAUCCUCAGCUCAGUGCCUUUACCAGAGCCAUGGGAUGAGUCCCAGUGGGUCCCAGGGCCACCCCACCUGGGUAGUUUGAGUGUUCACCUUGUGAGUCCAUGCAGAGAGGUGUCCUGGAAGUUCUGUCCCAGCCACAGACCCAUUCACAAUAUCAGGGCAGUUGUGGUUCCUUUUUCAUUCCUCUUCAAGGUGUUUCCUCGUGAUCUCAUCACCUAUGGAGCUGGCUUUACUGACCUCCUUCCAGCACACAUAGUUGUGAGGUUUUACCUCUAGGAAUCAUUACAAAAUAUAUGUUACUUUCCUUUCCUUUUUUUAAAUAUAAAUUUUAUUGGGCCUGUAUAAGCAUCUAAAACUAGCAUUGAAUGAAGUCAAAUAUUCAUUGUUAUAUAUAAUAAUUUAGAGAGUGCUCUAUGGUAGAAGCUUUGUAAGAGCUUGAAAAUAAGGCAACUUCUUCUUUUUCAGGGGGAACAACUUGGCCUUAUGUGUACGCAUAGGUCAUAUGUUACACAUUCCAUAGUCUUUGCAACUUGAAGGACCAUUCAUCUACUAAAUCUAAAGCCCUAAGAUCUAACAUUGUUACAGGAAAGGAAAGAAUUGCAGUAUUAGAUGAUCACUUUGUACUUAGUUCAGCAGUGUCUGUAUCCAUGGUGUAGGUGUCCUGCUGGGGCAGGGUCAUAAGCCAAGUGACCCUGAAGCUCUGCCUGUGGCCUAGCUCUGCCAGUCAUGGGGUACUCACUAUGUCACAAGGCAAUCUGGCCUAUCUGCAGAGAGCUCUAGUUGGUGGCAGACUCUUAUGCUUAACCUUGGAUCCCAGCUAUGCUUUUUAGCAUGAAGGAAGCCCACUUCUUUUCUCCACUGGAAGUCUCUUCACCUCUCUGAAAACCACUUCUGUGCCUUCCCUUUUUCUGACUCCAGCAUCCCAGUCCUUUCAGUGGCUUCUUGGACAAAGUAGGCCCAAGUAGUCGGCAUGUCAGGGCUAUAGUCUGAGGCCAUAGGUUGUUUGGGGUGAGGAUUUUGCCCUCUGUUAGGAGUGGGAGGAAGAAAGCACUGAUUGGUAUUUCUGGGACCACUUGGGAAAACAGGGCUUAAUGAGAUUGCUCAACCAUUCCCUUUUCAUGUUUGAGCAUGUUUUGCAUCAGUCUUCAACUCUGCCUUCACACUGAGGGAGAGGGCAAACUCAUGUAGAACAGGGGCCCACAGCGCUUGCAGCAAAUAAACAGCUGAACACAACACAAAUAACAUAGCUCAUAGAUGGUUAAGUGCUCAUUGAAUUUGGCACAGAGCUCUCACACUUCUGGUGGUAAGUCAGUAAAACAUUAUCACUAAUAUUUGAUUUGACUUUUCUCAGCUCUUUGAACAGUACACGUUUUUGUUUUGUUGUGUUGUGUUUCUCUCUGAUUCACCGUCUGCAGAAUUACUCAAUUCCAAGCUUCCCUGGUGGCAGGAAACCUGUGGUGAUGCUACCAAAGUGCCCAAGAAGAUCAUGAAUAUGAUGGAGGAAAUAAGGACCCCAAGUUCUGACCCCGUGUCCUGGAUGCCUCAGCCCUCACUGAUGAAUGAGAGAAGCAGCGUGGUUACGUGGUGGUUCCUCGGGACAGUGUUCCUCUCUGGGGUGAAAUGCACUGAAUUAGUCCAUAUGAAGUGGCAAACAUGGUAAGAAAUGACAGCUGGGGAGUCUGAGUGUGGAGAGGAAGUGUGUUUGUGUUGCUGUGAUAAGUUAAUGCAAAUUUGAAAUCACCAGAGAGUAAAUGACUCUUCCAAACAUCCACAUUAGCACAAGGUCACAGAAGCAGAGAGGACGUCAGACUUUGGGAUGGAGACCAAGCCCGCCCAGAUCCAGUUCACCCACCGUACGUGAACUGCUUGCCCUUAUAGGAGGCCACAUGUUAGCAGGAGACUCAUGGGAGGUUUAAAUCGGGGCCCCCCAUGUCUCUGGUGCAGUAGAAGCAGUGGGAUUUGGAAUUCCAAUUCUCCACAACGCUUCACCACAAGCUGGUUAGAGCUGUGCAAAUGCAGGAAGGGAAGCCUCACUAAAGUGGACUUGGGACCCCAGAUGGGGAGGCUGGCAGGGGGCCCCAGGCACUCAGUGCCCAUUGCAGACCCCACAUUACAAUCCCCCACGGGAGAGACUAAUCCAUUCCAGGCCCUGCAGGGGAAGUGGGAGGGUCCAUCUCCUACAAGAAAUCACCAUCCCUACAGCUCAACCUGUGAGAAUCCUCCAUCACCUUGAACCCCUGCCUUUCUCCAGGGGACUUUCCUUCCAAGCAACCCUCCCAACUUCUUCCUCCUCCUCCACGAAAUAGUGGUCCCCUCCUUUGUUUCUUGCACUUGCCUGUGAUGAGACCGUAGCUUGCUCAGCCCAGAUUGCCAUUCUCUGCUCUUCCCCAAUAAACCCAUUUUACUGGUCAAAUAACUGGGCGUUUGAGUUUAAGGUGAACAGAACUAAUAAACUCAAGAAACUUACAAGGAACAAAAUCAAUACACACAAAUCAAUUGCAUUUCUACAUGCUGGGAAGGAACCACCAGAGCGAGGCUAUGGAGAACAAUCUCAUUUACAAUUGCAUCCAAAGGAACAAGACAGCUAGGAGUUCUCUGAACCAAGGAGGGGACCGAUCUGUCCACUGACAGCCAUGACACACCAAUGACAGACAUGGAGGGAGACCCAUGGAAACAGGAAGACACUGUGCUCAGGGAAGAACCAACACUGGGAAAAUACCUACUCUCCCCAAAGCUGUCUACAGAGUCUGUGUUGUUGCUCUCGAACUUCCAGACACCAGGACGACCUUGAAACAGGUGUGGAUGUGGGAAGGACUCUGCAGGGCCGAGGUUGGGGGAGGAUGAGCACUGAGCCAGGCAGCCACUCCCUGAUUGCAGACUGAGGAGCCCCAGGAACAAAAUUCAUGUGCACACACAAGAUGUGGGACCCAGAGCAUGCAUCCAAGCCCAGAAAGAGGAAACCCCACAGCCCCAUGCACAGCACCAUGGGUGGCCACGUCACCACACACAAAAUGAUGGAAACUCCAGUGUAUACACAGCACGCCAUUCCUCCAUGGGGUCCUGAGAACACACACCCCCUCGCCAGUUCCCACUCAGGCAACUUCCUCUCACCUCCAGAGGCCGGUCCUAAGGGGGCUGGAUGGCUGUCAGUGUGGAUGCAGCCCCACGUCCUCCACAACGGGUCCUGUCAGUGUGGAUGUGGACACACCUCCUCCCCGCUUGACCUGUCAGGGUGGGAGUGGCCCCACAUCCUCCAGAAGUCUCCACCGCAGAUCCUGAGGAAGCUGGGCUCCUGUCCCAGCUGCACAAGCCCCCUGCUCAGGGCGGGAGCUGGGGGUGGGGGUGUCCUGCGCUCUCUUCAGGCAGGGGAGGCAAGUGUAGGACAAGGGCAGCUCAUCCUUCAGUGGAAGCACCUGCUCUCUCCCAUGUUCCAGCUGAAGCCAUUUCAUUCUGGAAAUUCAAGCAGCAUGGAGCCCAGUAUUCCCCAACUUCUCCAAAAUUACCUAAGGAACAGUGAAUUGGAAACAAAGUGGAAUGACAACAGUCCCUGCACCAAACAGUGGCAACAAACAUGACCCUGGUCCUGACACAGACUCACACAGACCUCAAGUUGCUUUCAAGCUUGGCCCUGACCUCAAUCCAAGAGCCUAACCCUAGUGCCCAACCCAAACAGUGUUCACAAGAAUCAAACCACUGGUAUCCAUCAGUGGUUAAUGCAUAAGCAAAGUGUGGUAAAGGGUUUGAAUUUGGGUUCAGUUUUAGGUUUCAUCAGAGUUCUGGAUUAGGCUUUGGGUUUAGGGUAAGGGUAAGGAUUUGCAGUGGAGGGCUAAGGGAACAGAGUUAAGAGCUUUAGGUUUAUUAUUUAGGGUUUAAGACUCGGGACUUCUGCGAUAAAGUUCAAGGUCAAAUUUGGGGUUUGGGUUCAUGCUGGAUUUGGAUUCAGGGUUCAUGACUCAGAGUUCUGGUUUAGGGUUUGGGUUCAGGAUAUGGAUCCAGGGCUUAUGUUCAGAGUCCAAAUUUCAGGUUCAAUUUCAGGUUUGGGAUUCAGGGUUCCAGUUUGGGCUUUAAGGUCGGUAGUUAGGUUGGAACAUUCAAGUUAGGGAUUAAGGUUAGGUUUAGGGAUGACACAUUUUCUUCCGUUGUCAUCAUGGACACAAAGUUUCACCUGAACUUUCUAAAUCUGAAAUGUAUUUCAUCUGGGCAUCAGGAGCUUGUUUAGAAUUUAAGAUCUCGGGCACCUGGGUGGCUCAGUGGGUUAAAUCCUCUGCCUUCGGCUCAGAUCAUGAUCUCAGGGUCCUGGGAUCAAGUCCCACAUUGGGCUCUCUGCUCAGCGGGGAGCCUGCUUCCCUUCCUCUCUCUCUGCCUGCCUCUCUGCCUACUUGUGAUCUCUGUCUGUUAAAUAAAUAAAAAUAUUUUUAAAAAUGUAAGA